UAGUGAAGGGCAAGUGGUGGAAAAUGAAGUUUAUCCCCAAAUUAGAUUAGUUGACCAAUAAAUGACGUCGUUUCAUCCUCAUAACCACUAAAACGACGCCACUUAGCAUGUUCGAAUUCCCAAUUCAAAAAGCUUGUUGUGGAGGAGGCAUCUUUUGUUCUCUCGCCUGCAAACACGCACACUCAGCUCUCUUCUCUCCGGCGAAGAGAGAGAAAGAGAGCUUAAGGAACUGAAGCUCUUCAUCGCCGGAAGCCUCUCUCUGGUUUGCGUUGAAAUUCACUUGUGCUUCUUUCCCCGAUCUGCUAGCUCGAUCCUCGAUAAUCGUUUAAUUCUUUUGAAAUGAGUUUCCUUGUUUAUGAUCUUGAGCAUUUGCACCUUCUGAUCUUCGUUUUACAGCUCGCAAUUUGGCCGGUAAUUGUGAAGAUCGAAAAUUGAAUUCACUUUGGGAAUUCCUACACCGGCGUUUUAGUUGGUAUUCAUUUUUUUUGUGCUGUUUUACUGGCAAAAUUCCAAGAAAGGAGUUCAUGACAAAAUGUAUCCGCCAUUUGGACCCUGAAAAUAAAACUUUCCAGCCAUGGUAUAGACGCGAGAAGCUCUCGCGUGUUUUAAAUUGAAACACGCAUAUUCCUCUCGCGUGUAUUAAAAGAAAGACGCGUCUUCUUCUCGCGUGUUUAAAGCAAACACGCGACACGCUCUCGCGUGUUUAAAGCAAACACGCGACACGCUCUCGCGUGUCUCUCUUGCUUCCAAAAUACGUCCUGAAGGCAGAACAGACCCCAAACACGCGACGCAGAUCCGAAAGCAGCGAAAAUCGGCGAAAGCAGCGGCGAAAAUCCCAUAUUUAGCUCUCCCAUUCCAAUUUGAAGUGUUGUUAGGAUGUCCCGAUAUGGACCAGAAGAUCCUUCUGUUUUGCAUUAUCAGCACAGUCAUAUAUCGCGCAAGGCGUGGGCAGGGCAGGAAACAACCUCUUUCAAUAUUCGGCGCUUUGAAGGACAUUUCUGGGAAAUCGAUAAUCAUCACAGACGCGUGAUUGAUUAUGUCUGUAGAUUUGGUUUUGGUGGAAUACUUUUCUGUGGUAAGGCUCUGGAUGUAGAUCAUGCGUUGAUCACAGCUUUGGUUGAGCGCUGGAGGCCAGAGACACAUACAUUCCAUCUUCCCGUAGGGGAAACUACCAUUACAUUACAAGACGUACAAAUAUUAUGGGCAUUACGUGUUGAUGGAGUACCCUUCACUGGAAAUGGGUUUUGUGAAUCUGGGUGGAGGGGUUUAUGUGAAGAGCUCUUGGGCUUCUAUCCCCUUCAAAGCGAGAUGAAGGAAAACGGUAUCUUGGCAUCCGCGCUAAUACAUAGGAUGGCGAUUGAACCGUUAGGAGAUGGUCUCGAAGACGAAGCCUACAUUCAACGGGCACGUAUGAUUGUGCUUGUGCUAUUGGGAGGGUUGAUCUUACCCGACGGCUCAGGGUGUAAGAUACCUCUCAUGUGGUUGACCCAACUUCGAGAUGUAGAGGCUGCCUCUAUGAUUAGUUGGGCGAGUGCUGCACUUGCUACAUUAUACCAUAAUCUGUGUGAGGCGUCUAUGGGCAAAAGGACAGACAUUGGAGGUCCGACGGUGCUCCUACAACUUUGGGUGUGGGAGAGAAUGCCCAUCUUCUUGAAUGACUAUCCAUAACCUCAUACAUCCGACCUGUUCCCACGUGCCAUAAUGUGAUAGCAGUUUUCAACUGCAAUUUGCUAUCAAAUUUUGUUCCCACAUCUAUAUGUCUCGGAUUAUCCUCAUCCCAAUACCACAUAUCUUCAUCAACCAAUCCAUGGUCUUCUGAAAAGUAACCUCGGCUGCCUUCACAUGGCAAUGAUCGAAAAAAUGGUAACCCUUCAGGCACAUAGUUGGGAACAAAUUGCUCCCCACGAACAGAUGGUUGUACAUACUUCUCAACCAUCAUAUCAAGUGCCUCAUCGUCUGUAGAAUCUUCACACGAUUCUGCACUAUAAUCAAAAUCACUUGGUUGAGAACCAUCGGAACCAUCACAAUCAGAGUCAUCUGCACCACCAACAUUAUCUGCACCAUCACAAUUAUCAGAACCACCUGCACCAUCACCAUUAUCAGAACCAUCAUAACCAUCACAUGUCAAAUUUGGUACAUCUAGUGGUUCAUCAACCUCUCUCCCAGAUGUGUUGAAUUCAAAGCUAUGAUAUUCAUCAUCCCUCCUAGAUGUCCCGACAUCAAAACUAGGAUAACCAUCUCUCCUAGACGUUCCAACAUCAUGAUGAGUGAUAGGUGGUUCAAAUUGCAACGCAGUGGUAACAGGAGUAUAUUCAAUAAAAAGUUCAAUUUGACGUGGAUUUUCACCAAACAUAUACUCCAACAAAUUAGCAUCCACUGGUGUAGCUAUAUAAUUCACCACUCCACUAAAAACCACAGGAUGCCUCCAUGUUAAAUCAAUCGUAUGUGCAUCCAACUCAAUUCCAAUUUUUUCACAUAUCAUUGAUACAAGCUGAUAAUAUGAUAUCUUUUCAUUCAAUAUAAUAAAUGAAUUUGCACGAGGGGGAUCAUAAGCAACACCCAAACCUGGGAGCUGAAUAAUUUUCCCAUCCCAAUAUAAACUCACAAACACCAUUAAACCUGCAAAAUAAGUGCGACAUAACAUCAUAUACUACAAAUUCAACAUACUUAGAUAAAUAUUGAACAACAUUAAAAUCGAAAAUUCAAUACCAAGUUCAAUGCCAUAAACCCUAAAUCUAUACCUAACUAACAUAUAGCAAUGAUAAUUGAAAUUAAUAGUCAAUAAUUACCUAACAUCACUUAAAAUAGGAAUUAGAGCAACAAAAUCACGGAUUCACUUCGAUUUUCGCCGGCUAGAAACGUUGGCCGUCGCUGAGAGUGAGAGAUUGAGCGAGCUGGACGAGUAGAAAGUGAGGUCUCUGCCGUCUGGACCAGAAUUUGUGUUUAGCUGAAACACGCGAGAGCGUGUCGCGUGUUUAGUUAAACACGCGAUAUCCUGAUGCGUGUUUAGUUAAAACACGCAAGAGCUUCAUGCGUGUUUAUUUAAACACGCGAGAGCUUCUCGCGUCUAUACCAUGUCUGGAAACUUUGUUUUUCAGGGUCCAAAUGGCGGAUACAUUUUUGCAUGGCUUCCUUUCUUCGAAUUUUCCCCUGUUUUACUGGUUUCUUAUUCUCUAAAUGGGGAAUUGUUCAACUUGAUGCUUCACUACGAGCUAUAAAGUCAACCCAAUAAACUCGGUCUCGUGAAAAUGAAGCUGCAUUCGCAGCUAUGAACUGUGUUGUUUUUUUUUCUUUUUUCUAAUGUGUUCGUUUCGAUUAGAUAUGAACUGCUUGGAUCCUCCAUCAUCCAUUGUAGGUACUUGUUAAGUGUUAAUUUGCCUCGAUUUUCUUUUCAACAAAAUUAUCCAUACAAUUCUCAAUAGUUUACGAACGGGGCACGCCUUGAUGUACAAUGUCAAUGGCUACAAAGAUGUUGCAUUGUGUUUUGUAUUAGAGGGACCUUAAUGAGGUUGUAUUUGAAACCUUGAGCUGUUAGAAUGAAGUUAAGUCAGUGGCAUUUGGCAGGUAGAACUGUAGAAGCUUCUUGACCAAGAUUUCCCGAUCAAGCAUCAUGUUCAUGGUUUCAAAAAUCACUUCUUUGCAGGCAUUUUGCCUCAGUGAUCGCCUAAUUUUUCUACCUAUCCAUUUCCAUUAUCUUAUUAAUUGGCACAAUAGAGGCAGCAAAUAUUUGAAAGUUUCGAUACGAACUUUCCAUUUAUCUACUCACAACGUGAUCGACCAUCAGGAGAGCAAUG